rnacentral:ribozyme from 1 species
GUGCACUGAAACAAACAACACGCCCAAUGGUUGCUUUUGCUUGUUGUUUU